UACGAAGGGGGCUAGCGUUGCUCGGAAUCACUGGGCGUAAAGGGUGCGUAGGCGGGUCUUUAAGUCAGGGGUGAAAUCCUGGAGCUCAACUCCAGAACUGCCUUUGAUACUGGCGAUCUCGAGUCGGGAGAGGUGAGUGGAACUGCGAGUGUAGAGGUGAAAUUCGUAGAUAUUCGCAAGAACACCAGUGGCGAAGGCGGCUCACUGGCCCGGUACUGACGCUGAGGUGCGAAAGCGUGGGGAGCAAACAGG
rnacentral:rRNA from 1 species